CCUACGGGGGGCUGCAGUGGGGAAUAUUGGACAAUGGGCGAAAGCCUGAUCCAGCCAUGCCGCGUGUGUGAAGAAGGCCUUCGGGUUGUAAAGCACUUUCAGUGGGGAAGAAAGCCUUGGGGCUAAUACCCUCGAGGAAGGACAUCACCCACAGAAGAAGCACCGGCUAACUCCGUGCCAGCAGCCGCGGUAAUACGGAGGGUGCGAGCGUUAAUCGGAAUUACUGGGCGUAAAGCGCGCGUAGGCGGUCUGAUAAGCCGGUUGUGAAAGCCCCGGGCUCAACCUGGGAACGGCAUCCGGAACUGUCAGGCUAGAGUGCAGGAGAGGAAGGUAGAAUUCCCGGUGUAGCGGUGAAAUGCGUAGAGAUCGGGAGGAAUACCAGUGGCGAAGGCGGCCUUCUGGACUGACACUGACGCUGAGGUGCGAAAGCGUGGGUAGCAAACAGGAUUAGAUACCCCUGUAGU
rnacentral:rRNA from 1 species